CGCACCUUGCGCCCUUUGGCAUUCCGAAGGGCACACCCGUUUGAGUGUCGUGACAUUCUACAAAACCUUCUUGGUUUCUUGACCGGGAAGGCUUUGGACUUUGGAGGCUUUUGCUGGCAUUCCCUUGUUGAAGCCAGCUCCUCUGAAACGAAUUAGGUGGGGUCUGCUUUGCCAAUCCCUGACGUGAUAAGAUAUUUCUACGUCUUGGGUUUCGCAUCCGCACUCCCGCUUCUAACCGUCUCAUUAGAAGACAAUGGCCGAGUGAUUGCCACUCGACCCACGAACCUUGACCUCAAAUCGGGUGAGACUACCCGCUGAACUUAA
rnacentral:rRNA from 1 species